rnacentral:lncRNA from 1 species
GUUUAUCCUUUUUUGAAAAAUUUAUAAAACUAUUCAUUUUUAAAAAUGCUCUCAAAUAUUUAUGUGUCACAUCUUGAUAGUCCAUCAUGUCAUAAUUUAUUACGAUAAUUUCUCGAUUGAUAUCAUAUCUAUAAUUGUACCAUGCAUAUUUCCAUUCUUUCUUAAUCCACAUUUCUAUUGAACUUUCACAAUUCUCGGACAGCAAAAUUACGAAAUUAAGACUCGUUGACAUUAUAUCAAUGGUUUCUUCCUCACGCAGUCGCCCUAUUUGACAAUCUCGAUAAGGUAAAAACACACUGAAGUUUUUUUCUUGAAGAAAAGGAACAAAUGAUGACGUCAGCCAAUGCCGUAAAUAAACGUCAUUUUCAU